rnacentral:sRNA from 1 species
UGAUGGUUUUUGAAAUCAGGAUUACCCCAGGAAGAACCAGGCCCACACAGGCAACCCAUUCCCAUCCAAAGCCAUUGGUGGAGCUUCUCUGGAAUCAUUUGCCAAAAGCCCAAGGCAGAAUCCAAGGGUCCAAGACCAUUUCCAUGGAGCUCAUGUUUUUCUUUUCUGUAGGAACUUUUUUUUAACCAGCACCCACCAUAAUUCCGAAGGCCAUGUUUCAUCUUUCCUGGAUCACUACAGUGAAGUAUUACAGUUGUACAGUUCCCAGUCUGGCCUUGGCUUGCUCGGAUAAAACUUUGUAUGUAUUUUGUAUGGCAUAGAUUCUAUAUUGUAAUGAUGUCCUAUGCAAAAAGAAAAAUUAACGAAAUUGUAAAUUUUAUUGUUUUAACGUGUAUGCAUGUUUAGUGACGUUUACAUUUUGAAAUAAAAUUUAUGAUUCAUUAUUUU